GACGAACGCUGGCGGCGUGCUUAACACAUGCAAGUCGAGCGGUAAGGCCCUUUCGGGGUACGACAGCGGCGAACGGGUGCGUAACACGUGAGCAACCUAACCGAAAUAGUGGGGGAGUAGCCGGCCUAACGGCCGAGUAAUACCGCAUACGCUCUCGAUGAGGCAUUUCAUUGAGAGGGAACCUACGGGACAUUUCGAGGGGCUCGCGGCCUAUCAGCUAGUUGGCGAGGUAACGGCCACCAAGGCGACG
rnacentral:rRNA from 1 species